UGGGGAAUUUUGGACAAUGGGCGAAAGCCUGAUCCAGCAAUGCCGCGUGCAGGAAGAAGGCCUUCGGGUUGUAAACUGCUUUUGUACGGAACGAAAUAGCUCUGGCUAAUACCCGGAGUCGAUGACGGUACCGUAAGAAUAAGCACCGGCUAACUACGUGCCAGCAGCCGCGGUAAUACGUAGGGUGCAAGCGUUAAUCGGAAUUACUGGGCGUAAAGCGUGCGCAGGCGGUUAUAUAAGACAGUUGUGAAAUCCCCGGGCUUAACCUGGGAAUUGCAUCUGUGACUGUAUAGCUAGAGUACGGUAGAGGGGGAUGGAAUUCCGCGUGUAGCAGUGAAAUGCGUAGAUAUGCGGAGGAACACCGAUGGCGAAGGCAAUCCCCUGGACCUGUACUGACGCU
rnacentral:rRNA from 1 species